UUCUUCAGGUAAACAUAAACACACACACACUCCCCUUCUUCAGGUAAACAUAAACACACACACACUCCCCUUAUUCAGGUAAACAUAAACACACACACACUCCCCUUAUUCAGGUAAACAUAAACACACACACACUCCCCUUAUUCAGGUAAACAUAAACACACACACACUCCCCUUAUUCAGGUAAACAUAAACACACACACACUCCCCUUAUUCAGGUAAACAUAAACACACACACACACUCCCCUUAUUCAGGUAAACAUAAACACACACACACACUCCCCUUAUUCAGGUAAACAUAAACACACACACACACUCCCCUUAUUCAGGUAAACAUAAACACACACACACACUCCCCUUAUUCAGGUAAACAUAAACACACACACACACUCCCCUUAUUCAGGUAAACAUAAACACACACACACACUCCCCUUAUUCAGGUAAACAUAAACACACACACUCCCCUUAUUCAGGUAAACAUAAACACACACACUCCCCUUAUUCAGGUAAACAUAAACACACACACUCCCCUUAUUCAGGUAAACAUAAACACACACACUCCCCUUAUUCAGGUAAACAUAAACACACACACUCCCCUUAUUCAGGUAAACAUAAACACACACACUCCCCUUAUUCAGGUAAACAUAAACACACACACUCCCCUUAUUCAGGUAAACAUAAACACACACACUCCCCUUAUUCAGGUAAACAUAAACACACACACUCCCCUUAUUCAGGUAAACAUAAACACACACACUCCCCUUAUUCAGGUAAACAUAAACACACACACUCCCCUUAUUCAGGUAAACAUAAACACACACACUCCCCUUAUUCAGGUAAACAUAAACACACACACUCCCCUUAUUCAGGUAAACAUAAACACACACACUCCCCUUAUUCAGGUAAACAUAAACACACACACACUCCCCUUAUUCAGGUAAACAUAAACACACACACACUCCCCUUAUUCAGGUAAACAUAAACACACACACACUCCCCUUAUUCAGG